rnacentral:rRNA from 1 species
AGAGUUUGAUCAUGGCUCAGAAUGAACGUUGGCGGCGUGGAUUAGGCAUGCAAGUCGCGCGAGAAGCUUCCUUCGGGAAGUGGACAGCGGCGAAAGGGAGAGUAAUACGUAGCAAUCUGCCUUCAGGACUGGGAUAGCGUUGGGAAACCGGCAGUAAUACCAGAUAAUAUCUUCGGAUCAAAGGUGUGAUUCCGCCUGAAGAUGAGGCUACGUCCUACUAGCUAGUUGGUGAGGUAAUGGCUCACCAAGGCAACGAUGGGUAGCGGGUGUGAGAGCAUGACCCGCCUCACUGGGACUGAGACACUGCCCAGACACCUACGGGUGGCUGCAGUCGAGAAUCUUUGUCAAUGGACGAAAGUCUGAACAAGCGACGCCGCGUGCGGGAUGAAGGCCCUCGGGUUGUAAACCGCUGUCGUAAGGGAACAAAUUCAUGGUGGCUAUCCAUCAUGUUUGAGUGAUCUUAGGAGGAAGGACGGGCUAAGUUCGUGCCAGCAGCCGCGGUAAGACGAACCGUCCGAACGUUAUUCGGUAUCACUGGGCUUAAAGAGUUCGUAGGCGGUCGUGUAGGUCAGGUGUGAAAUCCCACCGCUCAACUGUGGAACUGCGCUUG